UUAAGCAUAUCAAUAAGCGGAGGAAAAGAAACCAACAGGGAUUGCCCCAGUAGCGGCGAGUGAAGCGGCAAGAGCUCAGAUUUGAAAUCGUGUUUCGGCACGAGUUGUAGAGUGUAGGCGGGAGUCUCUGUGGAGCGCGGUGUCCAAGUCCCUUGGAACAGGGUGCCUGAGAGGGUGAGAGCCCCGUAGGGUGCUGCGCGAAGCUUUUGAGGCCCUGCUGACGAGUCGAGUUGUUUGGGAAUGCAGCUCCAAGCGGGUGGUAAAUUCCAUCUAAGGCUAAAUAUUGGCGAGAGACCGAUAGCGAACAAGUACUGUGAAGGAAAGAUGAAAAGCACUUUGAAAAGAGAGUGAAACAGCACGUGAAAUUGUUGAAAGGGAAGGGUAUUGGGCUCGACAUGGGGGGUGCGCACCGCUGUCUCUUGUAGGCGGCGCUCUGGGCGCCCUCUGGGCCAGCAUCGGUUCCUGCUGCGGGAGAAGGGGCUCCGGAAAGUGGCUCUUCGGAGUGUUAUAGCCGGGGCCAGAUGCCGCGUGUGGGGACCGAGGACUGCGGCUUCUGUCUCGGAUGCUGGCAUAACGGCGCAAUACCGCCCGUCUUGAAACAUGGACCAAGGAGUCUAACGUCUAUGCG
rnacentral:rRNA from 1 species